rnacentral:rRNA from 1 species
GACGAACCGUGCAAACGUUGUUCGGAUUCACUGGGCUUAAAGGGCGCGUAGGCGGGCGGUCAAGUCAGGGGUGAAAUCUUUCGGCUCAACCGGAAAAGUGCCUCUGAUACUGACUGUCUUGAGGGAGGUAGGGGCAUGUGGAACUCAGGGUGGAGCGGUGAAAUGCGUAGAUAUCCUGAGGAACGCCGGUGGCGAAAGCGACGUGCUGGACCUCUUCUGACGCUGAGGCGCGAAAGCCAGGGGAGCAAACGGG